AAUUUAAAAAUAAAAAUAAAAAAUCUGACUUUUCAUCAUCCAGGGCUUUUCAUCAUCUCAUGUUAUGCUGGAAAAUUAGCCUCUCUCUUCUUAAUCAUUGUACCUAUUGAUUUUGAUGCGUUACCAUGAUUUUAUAUCUGCUUAAUUAAAUUUUAGCGUAUCCGUAUUUAAGAAGAUUUUAGGUGUUAUAAGGUUUGACUGGGAAAAAGAAAGGUUGAGCAUUCACAUUCACCGUCAACAAAUAAGGCAGCCGAGAAUAUGCAACUGUUGUAAAUGUUAGACACUGAAUUAGUUCCAUACAGAUGCCUCAAAGUGAUUUUCCAUGCGGAAUUCAAAUAUCUUUCUUUUUUUCCCCCUUUCAUUGUUGCAUAACAACAAUUACACAUUGAGAAGAAGUUGUGGAGUUCAAGCCUUAUGUAGCAACCUCGAACGUUAAAUAACAACCCACCACAAAAGGAGAACAAGUUGCUACUCUUCAAUUCAAGACCAGCAACCGUGAAGACGGUGGAGUCCCAGCUUCAUUAGCAAAUUUCCAUAAAAGGUAGUCUGAAACAUUAUGAAACCAAUUAUUAAAAUACAUUAAUCAAUGUAGUUAGUCCCUCAAUGUGAAAUAGUACAGUUUGGGCUGCCCCCUUCGUUUAAACUGAACAGACACGAGGCAAAGGGCAAGAGGACGCAAUCACAAGUUCUCUUGAUGGUGAGAUAUGCUUCAGAGGUAUGAUAUAGUCCAGUUUCGGUUGACCUGUCUCUUUUGCCUGGUAGUUUAGCAUGUAGACCCUUCAUCAUGUUUUCUUUUAGUAGUCGAGUUGAACUUGAAGUCUUUUAAUAAUGGUACAUCACGUUUACUUGAACUUUUUCAAUUGGAAAACCAUGUAGUAUUUUUUACUUACAAACUUCAUGCUAUUGUGUUUAUUUGGUAAAAUUCGCAGAGGGCUUUAAAAUGACAUGGCAAUACAAAUAUUGGAGAAAUUUCAGCUCCAUGAUCGUAUGGUUUUAAGUAUGUCCAGAAGUGAUUGUGCUAUUAGUCGAAUAGAGUUUGAAGUCUUUCAUGUUGGCGCUUAUAGUAAUUUGAGAAUUGAAGCUAAGAAGCUUAUAGCCAGUGAAAUUUCCCCUUUACAGUUUGUGGUGGAAUGCAUGGAUAGCUUGAACCCUAACUAACCUACAAUUGGCUGGAUUACGUUGGCUGAAUCAUUUUUGGGUAUUAGUCAUUGCCUAUGUCGUAAUAUCGUAUUGAUUUCAUAUCAUAUUGAGGCACAACAUGUACAAACAUAUUUGUGUACCUUAGACAAGUGAAGAAGGUCGGGUUAAAAAGUUUGAAUUGUACUGAAAGCCGUUAGAUAAAGCUAUCAGUAGUGGACUGCGUAAUUGGUGUUCAUAUUCGGGGAAGCUUACGAAAGGCCAGAUAAGGGUUCUUGGUGCUGAGCACGGGAGAGAAACAUGGACGAUCAAAGUUCUAUUUAAAAUGGAUGUUAUCUUCCAUGCACUUCUUUUGCUGCUCACUUUAUCAGUCAGCAUGCAUCUUACGGUUGGAAAACGGCUAAAAGGCAGAGACAAAAGUAUAUUCACCACUGGCUAAUUCACGUUGAGACUGAUGAGAAAGAAAUUAAAGAAGAGUGCGCCAACUCAGCUACAGCUGCUAUACGGGCUCUAGAUGCAAGCAACGGGACAUAUUACCUCAGACUGAGACACUGACUCCUGUCAUACUCCCUAAAUCUAUAUAUAUCUUUACAUUUUCAUACCUCGUCAAUAUUUGUUUGACAAAACUUGUCCUUUAUAAAGAAAUUGUACCUUUGUAUAGCAUAUUAGCAUGUCAAUGCACAAAGUAUAAUACAGUAUUGUUUUUGUGAUAUA